rnacentral:rRNA from 1 species
CAGCCGUAAACUAUGCGCGUUAGGUGUACUGGUGACCACGAGUCACCGGGGUGCCGAAGGGAAACCGUGAAACGUGCCGCCUGGGAAGUACGGUCGCAAGGCUGAAACUUAAAGGAAUUGGCGGGGGGAGCACCACAACGGGUGGAGCCUGCGGUUUAAUUGGACUCAACGCCGGAAAUCUCACCGGAUAGGACAGCAGAAUGAUGGCCAGGUUGAUGACCUUGCUUGACAAGCUGAGAGGAGGUGCAUGGCGUGUGACUGU